rnacentral:rRNA from 1 species
GACGAACGCUGGCGGCGUGCUUAACACAUGCAAGUCGAACGAAAAGGCCCUGCGUUUGUUGGGUUCUCGAUUGGCGAACGGGGGUGUAACACGUGAGUAACCUGCCCUUGACUUUUGGAUAACUUCAGGGAACUCGGGCUAAUACCCGGUAUAAUCUCCUGCUCCGUGGUGUUGAUUAGAAAAUUUCGGCUGUUGGGGAUGUACUCGCGGGUUAUCAGCUUGUUUGGGGGGUAGGGGCUUACCAAGGGUUUGAAGGGUAGGCGGCCUGAGAGGGUGACCGGCGACAUUGGGACUGAGAUACGGACCAGACUGCUACGGGAGGCAGCAGUGGGGAAUAUUGCACAAUGGGGGGAAGUGUGAUGUAGAAAUGCUGCGUGCGGGAUGACGGCUUUCGGGUUGUAAACAGAUUUCGAAUGUGACGAAGCGUGAGUGACGGUAAUGGGUAAAGAAGCAACGGCUAACUACGUG